rnacentral:rRNA from 1 species
UACAGAGGGGGCAAGCGUUGUCCGGAUUUACUGGGCGUAAAGAGCGCGCAGGCGGUCGUUCAAGUCGCGUGUGAAAGCCCCCCGGCUCAACUGGGGAGGGUCACGCGAUACUGAUCGACUCGAAGGCAGGAGAGGGUAGUGGAAUUCCCGGUGUAGUGGUGAAAUGCGUAGAUAUCGGGAGGAACGCCGGUGGCGAAAGCGAUCCGCUGGGGUGCAAGUGACGCUGAGGCGCGAAAGCCAGGGGAGCAAACGGG